UGGGCUGGGCUGGGCCAGCCAAUCCCCACAGCCUGGGUGCCGCUCCCAUGUCUGGGCAGCUGGCCAAAACCUGGGUGUGGGAGACCAACUGGAUGCAGAGGAACCAGCUCAGGGUGACACAGCACAGGCACUGGAUCCUCAGGUCUCAGCACCUCCCACAUAAGGUGGAGAGUAAGCCGAGAGGGGUCAGAUAGAGUUUCCACUGUGUGACACCUGCUCUGAAAGAGCACCUACUGAGUGUGUGGCAGAUAAAAGCAUGAACUUGAGAGUUCAGGUGUCAAGCGAGCCAGGCCAGGCCAAGCCUUGUUCCAGAUCAUCUCCUGUGCUCCUCUCUAACCCUGGGCCGGUAGAACACUGUGUACCACUUCUGGAUGCUGAAUCAGGCAACCUGGAAGAGACAAGCCUCUGUCCCCCUGCUGCUGGAUGGAGUUCAAGUCUUGCCUCCAGGCAGUCCAGGGCCCUGUUGGAGACCUGACUGCUAGGAACGGGAACAAAGAAUCCAGCCCCACUGAGGAUUACCUGGGUCAGAUUCUGGAGAUUAAGAGCUCAGCCGGAAAAGCAAAUCUGGAGGCUGGACUCAGUAUAGGAGGACAGAGCGGGGACGUGGAGGCCACCAGCUGUCAAGGAGUCUCAUCUGAAUCACAAAAAGGAGGAGGUAGAGCAAGAAGGCAGAAUAAAAUGCGUCAUUGAUCGUCUCCUCCACAGGAACGCCAAAUACAACAAAUAUCCACACAAGAAAAUACCUUCAUAAGAACGAAAAAUUAGGUGAGUGAUCAUGGUAUCUGGUUUUAACAUCAUAUCAAAAAAAGAGGUACUUUGAACUCAUGGAGAUAGAGAGUAGAAGGAUGGUUACCAGAGGCUGGGAAGGGGAGUGGAGGAAUGAGGGGAAGUUAGGGAUGGUUAAUGGGUACAAAUAAAGAUAGAAAGAAUUAAUUAGACCUAUAAUAAGACCUACUAUUUGAUAGUACAACAGGGUGACUAUAGUCAAUAAUAACUUAAUCGUACAUUUUAAAAUAAUGAAAAGAAUGUAACUGGAUUGUUUGUAACACAAAGGAUAAAUGCUUGAGGGGAUGGAUAAUCUAUUCUCCAUGAUUUGAUUACCAUGCAUUGCAUGCCUGUAUCAAAAUAUCUCAUGUACUUCAUAAACAUAUAUACCUAGUAUGUACCCACAAAAAUUAAAAAUUUAAAGAGGCACUGAAGAAUGUACAAAAGACAGGUUUUUUUUCUUUUUUCUUUUUCUUUUUUUUUUUUUUUUUUUUUUUUUGAGACAGAAUCUUGCUCUGUCACCCAGGCUGGAGUGCAAUGGCACGAUAGCUCACUGCAACCUCUGCCUCCCGGGUUCAAGCGAUUCUCAAGCCUCAGCCUCGCAAGUAGCUGGGACUACAGGCUCAUGCCACCACGCCCGGCUAAUUUUUGUAUUUUUAGUAGAGACAGGGUUUCACCACGUUGGCCAGGCUGACCUUGAACUCUUGACCUCAGGUGAUCUGCCUGCCUCGGCCUCCCAAAGUUCUGGGAUUACAGGAGUAACCCACUGUGCCUGGCCAAAAGAGUCUUAAAUUGCCUACACUAACACUUCCCCAUCUCCCAGAAGUGGCCUCAUGGCUGGAGAGAGAAUCUGGGUGCUUGAGUGGAGGGGAGAGAGCACAGUGAUCAUGGGACUUUGCAUUGAAACUCAGUGCUGCCCUGUCACAGCAGAAAGCAACAUGGGGUAGAAUUUAGCGAGUGCCGACAGAGGAAGCAUUUAGGCCAGCCCUAGUCAGAAGGGAAUUGUCCAUCCCAGUGGUCAGAACCUGAGUUCCAGCUAGUACCACCAUUGCAGGCUAAAGUGCUCCAGGGUCCUAAAUAAACUUGAAAGGCUACCACCUAUGUUUGUUAAAGGCCCAAGGGCUCUACAAUCAGUAUGUGGUAAAUCCAGCUACAAGGACUGCAAUUCUGGAGAAAGUCCUGGUGCUGCGCUGGGCUCAGAGCCAGAGAACUUGGGGUGCACACAACCUGGUGAGGCACCAGCCAGGGCAGCCAAGGGAGUCUUGGCAAGCAUCAUCCCUCCCACAACUCCAGGCAGCACAGCUUGCUGCUCCAGGAGAGACUUCUUCCUUCUGCUUGAGGAGAGGCAGCUUGGAUAUCAGCUCAGCCACAGAAGAAUAGGGCACCAGACAGCAUCCUGAGGCUCCUAUUCCACGCUCUAGCUCCCAGACAACAUUUCUAAACACAUUCUUGGACAAAGGAAACAUGCUGCCUUGAAGGGAAGGACCCAGUCCUGGCAGGAUUUACCACCUGCGGAUUAAAGAGGACAUAGGCCCUGAAUAAUCAUCAGUGGUAGCUGGGUUGUACUUGUUGCAAGACUUGGGUGAGACUCAGUGCCAUACGGGCUUCAGGUGUGACCCAGCACAUUCCCAGCCGUAGUGGCCACGGGGAGAAGCUCCUUCUGCUUGAGGAAAGGAGAGGUAAGAGUAAAGGGGACCUUGUUUUGCAGCUUGGGUACCAGCUUAGCCACAGUGGGAUGGAGCACCUGGAGUCCCUGAUUCCAGGCCACAGCUCCUGGACAGUAUCUCUGGACCCACCAGAUAUGUGGGGAACUCACUGCACUGAAGGGAAGGUCACAAGGCCUGGCUAGAUUUACCACAUGCUGAUUAUGCAGCCCUUGGGCCUUGAGUCAACACAGGUGGUAGCCAAGCAGUGGUCACUGUGUGCCUUGGGCAAGACCCAGUGCUGUGGUGGCCUCAGGUCUGACUCAGCACAGUCCCAGUGGUAGAUGCCACAGGGGUGUUUGUGUCAACCCUCCCCUAGCUCCAGACAGAUCAGCACAGAUCGAGAGAGAGACACAUUUGUUUGGGGGAAAGUAAGGGAAGAGAAGAGUCUCUGCCUGGGAAUCCAGGGAAUUUUCCCAGAUCUUACCCAAGACAACCAAGGCAGUACUUCUACUAAUCUGCAAGAGUCCCAGCAUUACUGGGAUUGAGGUGCUCCCUGUGUAGAUACAGCUGUGGUUACCAAAGACUUAGGUUACUGCACUCAAUUCCCUUUGAAUAUUUGGAAAGCUUUCCCAAGAAGGACAGGUACGAACAAGCCCAGACCACAAAGACUACAGUAAAUGCCUAACUCUUCAAUGCCCAGACAUCAACAAACAUUCACAAGCAUCAAGACCAUCCAGGAAAACAUGACUUCACCACAUGAGCUAAAUACAACACCAGUGAUCAAUUCCAGAGUGACAAAGAUAUGUGACCUUUCAGGCAGAUAAUUCAAAAUAGCUGUUUUGAGAAUGCUCAGUAAAAUUCAAGACAACACAAAGAAGGAAUUCAGAAUCCUAUCAGGUAAAUUUAACAAAGAGAUCGAAAUAAUUAAGAAGAACCAAGAUUGAAAUAAUUUAAAAGAACCAAAGAAAUCCUGGAGCUGAAAAAUCCAUUUGACAUACCGAAGAACGCAUCAGAGUCCCUCAACAGUGGAACUGAUCAAGAAAAAGAAAGAAUUAGUGAUCUUGAAGACAGACUAUUUGAAAAUUCACAGUUAGAGAAGAUAAAAGAAAGAAGAAUUUUAAAAUGAAGUAUGCCUACAGGAUCUAGAAAAUAGCCUCAAAAGGGCAAAUUUAACAAUUCUUGGCCUUAAAGAGGAGGUGGAGAGAGAUCAGGAUAAUAACAGAACUUCCCAAACCUAGAGAAAGAUAUCAACAUUCAAGUACAAGAAGGUUACAGAAAAGCAGGCAGAUUUAAUCCAAAUAAGACUAACUCAGAACAUUUAAUAGUUAGGCUGAGCAGGGCGGCUCACACCUGUAAUCUCAGCACUUUAGGUUGCCGAGGCAGGUGGAUUGCUUGAGCCCAGGAGUUUGAGACUAGCCUGGGCAACAUGGCAAAACCCUGUAUCUACCAUAUAUAUAUAUUAGCCGGGCAUGGUGGUAUGCAUCUGUAGUCCCAGCUACUUGGGAGACUGAGGUUGAAGGACGGCUUAAGCCCAGGGGGCAGAGGUUGCAGUGAGCUGAGAUCAUGCCUCUGCACUACAGCCUGAGUAACAGAGCCAGAUCCUGUCAAAAAAAAAAAAAAAAAAAAAAGAUUAAUAAUUAAACUCCCAAAGGCCAAGGAUAAAGGAUCCUAAAAGCAACAGGAGAAAAGACACAAAUAACAUACAAAGGAGCUCCAAUAUGUCUGGCAGAAGACUUCUCAGUGGAAACCUCAUAUGCUGAGAGAGUGGCAUGACAUAUUUAAAGUGCUGAAGGGAAGAACUUUUAUCCUAGAAUAUUAUAUCCAGCAAAAAUAUUCUUCAAACAUGAAGGAGAAAUAAAGAUUUUCCCAGACACACAAAACCUAAGGGAUCUGCAGACCUGUCUUAAAAGAAAUGCUAAAGGGAGUUCCUCACUCUGAAAGAAGAGGAUGUUAAUGAGCAAUAAGAAAUCAUCUGAAGGUACAAAACUCACUGUAAGUACAUAGACAAACACAAUACUAUAACACUGUAACUGCGUUAUGUAAACUACCCAUAUAUUGAGUAGAAAGACAAAAAAUAGUUGCUAUCUAUUGCUUUGAAAAUGAAAUCUUUACCCCAAAAGUUAUUUGAUGAAGUUACUCAAUUUGUAACCGAUGAUACCUCAAACUGUCAACUUGUAUGAAGACAAUUCUUGCAACGUGAGACAAAGCACUUUUAUAUCAUUUUGUAACAUCAUGCCAUUUUUAAGAAAUAGAGUGGUUUGAAUACAUAACCCAAAUAUUUGUUAAAACCACAAAAUAAUGUUUCAUAAAAUGAUUUGAUGUCAUGGAAAGACGUUAACAGCAUAUCGUGUGAGUAGCCCAAAUUAACAAAAAUUUGAGAUAAAAUAGCAUUUUUUGUUUGGGUAAAAUUCACAUAACAUAAAAUUCACCAUUUUAAAGGGUACAAUUUAGUAGCACUUAGUAUAUGCACAGUGUUGUGGAAACUUCACCACUGUCUAGGUCCAGAACAUCUUCACCACCCAGCAGGAAAUCCUGACCCCAUUAGCACUUCCUCUUCCCACUUCCCCACAGCUCCUGACACCACCAAUCUCCUUUCUGUCUCUAUAGAUUUGCCUAUUCUGGACAUUAUUUUUUUUUUGAGACAGAGUCUCACUCUGUUGCCCAGACUGGAGUGCAGUGGUGUGAUGGCAUGAUCUCAGCUCACCACAACCUCCGCUUCCUGGGUUCAAGUGAUUCUCCUGCCUCAGCCUCCCAAGUAACUUGGAUUACAGGCAUAUCCCAUGACGCCCAGCUAAUUUUUCUUGAAUUUUUAGUAGCGACGGGGUUUCAUCAUGUUGGCCAGGCUGCUCUUGAACUCCUGACCUCAAGUGAUCUGCCUGCCUGGGCCUCCCAAAGUGCUGGGAUUACAGGCAUGAGCCACCACACCCAGAUGGACAUUUCUUAUAAAUAAAUCAUACACUAUGUGACCUUUUGUGUCUGACUUCUUUCACACACUAUAAUGUAUUCAAGGUUCAUCCAGGUGGUAGUAUGUAUCAGUACUUCAUUCCUUUUAAUGGCUGAGUAAUAUUUCAUUAUACAAAUAGAUCACAUUUUCUUUAUCCAUCCAUCUGUUAAUGGAUAUUUGAGUUCUUUCUACCUUUUGGCAAUUGUGAAUGGGGCUGCUAUAAGCAUGAAUGUACAAGCUUUUUUGUUUGAACAACUGUUUUCUAUUCUUUUGAGUAUAUAGCUAGGAGCUUAAUAUGAUAUCGUGGAAUUGGGUCAUAUAGUAAUUCUAUGUUUUACUUUUUCAGAAUCUCCAGAGUGUUUUCCACAGCAGCUGCACCAUUUUUACAGUCACACCAGGAAUGGAUGAGGGCUUCAAUUACUCCACAUCCUCUCCAACACUUGUUAUAUUCCCUUUUUUAGUUGCUAGCCAUCCUGUAGGUGUUGAGGUGACAUCACGUUGUGCUUUUGGUUUGCAUAAUAGGAAUAAUGUUUAGCAUCUUUUCAUGUGCUCAUUUGGCAGAAAAAUAGCAUUUGUAAACAAAAUUACAUGCAAAUGUGAUAUGACACAGAUAUAUAGAUGUAAAUAAACAUUUUCGUAUGUAAAAAGAUCACAUAUGAAUUAAAAACUGGAAGCAUAUGCAAGAAAAUAUAAACAGUGAUUAUUUUGACAUUUUGAAAUUAUGGAUGAUUUUUAUUUCUUGCAAUUUCUUCUAUAAGCAUGCAUUAUUUAUGAAAGUUAAACUUUAAAGGGAAGAAAAACAAAUUGACUUUCAGCAUAGAAUAUAUUAAAUAGUUAUUUAUUU